UUUGAUAGCAGUAUCCUGAGUAGAGCGGGACACGAGAAAUCCUGUUUGAAUUUGCCGGGACCAUCCGGUAAGGCUAAAUACUCCCCAGAGACCGAUAGUGAACCAGUACCGUGAGGGAAAGGUGAAAAGUACUUCGAAUAGAAGAGUGAAAUAGAUCCUGAAACCGUUCGCUUACAAGCGGUCGGAGUGUCGCUAAAUGCGAUAUGACGGCGUGCCUUUUGCAUAAUGAUCCUACGAGUUACUUUCACUGGCAAGGUUAAGCACUUCAGGUGCGCAGCCGAAGCGAAAGCGAGUCUUAACAGGGCGCGAUAGUCAGUGGGAGUAGACGCGAAACCAAGUGAUCUACCCUUGAGCAAGUUGAAGUUUCGGUAACACGAAAUGGAGGACUGAACCGGUAUACGUUGAAAAGUGUUCGGAUGACUUGAGGGUAGGGGUGAAAGGCUAAUCAAACUUGGAGAUAGCUCGUACUCCCCGAAAUGCAUUUAGGUGCAGCGUUGCGACAGUUUACAUGAGGUAGAGCGACUGAUUGGAUGCGAGGGCUUCACCGCCUAUCAAGUCCUGAUAAACUCCGAAUGCAUGUAAAUGAUUCGCAGCAGUGAGGGCGCGGGUGCUAAGGUCCGCGUCCGAGAGGAGAAGAAUCCAGACCAUCAGCUAAGGUCCCCAAAUAUAUGCUAAGUUGAAUUAACGAAGUCGAACUGCAGCGACAGCUAGGAUGUUGGCUUGGAAGCAGCCAUUCAUUUAAAGAGUGCGUAACAGCUCACUAGUCGAGCGGUUUGGCGUGGAUAAUAAUCGGGCAUAAGCAUAUUACCGAAGCUAUGGAUAUCGCCUAAGGCGAUAUGGUAGGGGAGCAUUCCAGUACAGCGUAGAAGGCGUAAGGACAACUUACUCUGGAGCGGCUGGAAAAGCAAAUGUAGGAAUAAGUAACGAUAAUGGGGGCGGGAAACCCCCACGCCGGAAGACUAAGGAUUCCUGAUCAACGCUAAUCGGAUCAGGGUUAGUCGGGGCCUAAGGUAUAGCCUAGAGGCGAAGCCGAUGGAAGAACUGGUUAAUAUUCCAGUACUACUUAUUAGAGUGAAGUGGGGACGCAGCAGUGAAAGUCCUGCCAGCAGACGGAAUAGCUGGUUAAAGGGUGUAGAUAUUGAGAAUCGCAGGCAAAUCCGCGAUUUGAGUCGAACCUGAUAGUACCGGGCGUACUUGUACAACCGGAUAUGGAUGUAAACAGACUGCCAAGAAAAUCCGCUAAACGUUAAUCUUAUAAGUACCCGUACCACAAACGGACACACGUGGUCACGUAUAGCGUACUAAGGCGCUCGAGUGAAUCACAGCUAAGGAACUAGGCAAAAUAGCCCCGUAACUUCGGGAGAAGGGGUGCCCCUGAGCGUGACAAGUAAAAUUGGUAGCGCAUGGGGGUCGCAGUGAAAUGGCUCUAGUGACUGGUUAACAAAACCACAGGUCUCUGCAAAGUCGCAAGACGAUGUAUAGGGGCUGACGCCUGCCCAGUGCCGGAAGGUUAAAGGGAGAGGUUAGCGCGCAAGUGCGAAGCUUUGAACUGAAGCCCCGGUGAACGGCGGCCGUAACUAUAACGGUCCUAAGGUAGCGAAAUUCCUUGUCGGGUAAGUUCCGACCCGCACGAAUGGCGUAACAACUGGAGCACUGUCUCAACGAGGGACCCGGUGAAAUUGAAAUGGCUGUGAAGAUGCGGCCUACCCGCAGCAGGACAAAAAGACCCCGUGGAGCUUUACUGCAACUUGGCAUUGAAUUUGGGUAUGGUUUGUGUAGGAUAGGUGGGAGGCUAAGAAGCUAGUGCGUCAGCAUUGGUGGAGCCAAUGGUGAAAUACCACCCUGAUCAUGUUUAGAUUCUAACCCCACACCGUAAACCGGGUGGGGGACCGUGCCAGGUGGGCAGUUUGACUGGGGCGGUCGCCUCCUAAAAAGUAACGGAGGCGCCCAAAGGUUCCCUCAGACUGAAUGGAAACCAGUCGAAGAGUGUAAAGGCAUAAGGGAGCUUGACUGCAAGACCAACGCGUCGAGCAGAGACGAAAGUCGGGCUUAGUGAUCCCACGGUACUGAGUGGAAGGGCCGUGGCUUACCGGAUAAAAGCUACCCCGGGGAUAACAGGCUGGUGAGGUCCAAGAGUUCACAUCGACGACCUCGCUCGGCACCUCGAUGUCGGCUCAUCACAUCCUGGGGCUGGACAAGGUCCCAAGGGUCGGGCUGUUCGCCCGUUAAAGUGGUACGCGAGCUGGGUUCAGACCGUCGUGAGACAGGUCGGUCUCUAUCCGCUGUGGGCGCAAGGGGUUUGAGAGGAGCUGUCCCUAGUACGAGAGGACCGGGAUGGACAGACCACUAGUGUGUCAGUUGUCGUGCCAACGGCAUAGCUGAGUAGCUAAGUCUGGCAGGGAUAACCGCUGAAAGCAUCUAAGCGGGAAGCUCGCCUCAAGAUUAGACCCCUGUAAUCCUGU
rnacentral:rRNA from 1 species